ACCGAAUCAUUGCACACCUACAUAAAAGACGAAAACGAAUUAAUGAUGAACUGCUUAAAAAUACAUCAUAAACUUAUGUUAAACGAGAAAGAAAGUAUCUUUUCCAACGUUAUAAAAGUUCCUAAUAGUAAUAAAAGUAAAAUAUCUGCACGCGACGACAACUCAUACUACUACUACAACAAUAAUGAUUCGAAAAUUCAAAUGAAUAUUGUUUUAAACACGAAUGCUAGUGAAAUAAUAGAAAAGCCACAUAGAUACGAUAUAAGAAACAUAAUACAAUAUUAUUAUAAAAAGUUUUAUAAUAAUAGGUUAGAUUAUUUCAUUUAUAACAAUCAGAACAAAAACAAUUGGAUAAAUAACAACAUUUCUAAUGGUUUAUGUUUAGCAACAGACUGUUCUUUACUAUUGUAUGAAACGAAAGAAAAUGAAAAUAUGUGUCAGGACACACAUGAUGAUGGUGAUGAUGAUACAUACGAAAAAAAAACACACCCAACAAUUAUUGUAACUGAUAAGGAGUUGAAAAGCAGUAACACCUGUACAGGCAUAAACAUAUCCAAUUGCAACGAUGGUACAAAUAAGCUUCAACCGUUUCCAUAUAGGACUAAAACAAUAGCAAAAAUUCAAAACUGUAAAAAUAACAUUAUAAAAUACAAAAAAUAUAAUAGUACAACGGGUAAAACAGUUAAAGUAAAAGUAAUAAAUAAGAUGAUAAAAAAAAGUUAUAAAUUAAGAAAGAACUCAAUUGAAUAUAUGCUUAUUGAAAAGGUAAUAAACAUAAUUGAUAAUCUUAGUAUGAAGAACAGUUUGUACAAUAACGUAAAUUUAAAAAACAAUUUGUAUAGUAGCUUAAGUUUGAAAAGUGAUUCACAUAGCGACACAAGUUUAAAAAGUGGAAAAGUAACUACAACAGAAGAACAUGUCUUUACUUCUAAUGCUCAUACAACAAACAAUAACAACCAUGAUCAUGCAUUUUACCAAUCACUAUUUGGCAAUGAAACAGAACCAAAUAUGGAUGAUAUAAACUCUUUCUUUUACUCCGAAAUGAACAACUCCUUUUAUAGAUAUUUUAAAGAUAAAAUAGAUGUAAAUAAUAUAAGAAAACAUUAUAACUUAAAACAUGACAAUACUAUAUUUAAGUUACAUAAAGAAUAUAUAAAAACAUGUUUAAACAAAUUUAAAUUAUUUUUUCGUGAAUACUUUUAUAUUAAUUUUACAAACGAUUUAGAAUUGAAAAAAAAGAAAAAGUAUAUGUAUAAAAAUUUUUGUGUAGCUAUAUGUGAUAUUUUUUUUUACAAUUUAGGAAUUACAAAAGGAGAUGGAGAUGAGAAAUUUGAACAAACAUUAGGUGGUAUAGUAAUAUAUGAUUUAUACAUAAAACAGUUUACAAAAUUAAGAAUAUUAUUAAAAAAAAUGUUUAUGUAUAUAAAUAUUAUAUACAAAAUAAUUAAAUUAGUUAACAUGAAAAAAAUAUUUAAUGAACGAUAUGACUUACAUACAUGUAAAAUGCAUGACGUAUUUUUUUUUAAUUUCUUAUAUUUUUUUUAUCAUAAAUAUUCUAAUAAGUGUCAAAAAGGUAAUGGAUAUAUGACCUCCUUAUGUAAACAAAUGUUUAUAAAUAAAAAAGACUUGUUAGGUAAUUUGAAACAAAAACUUGUUACUCUUGAAAAUAAAGAUUUACAAUUUUUGGAACUGUAUGAAAAAAUGUUUAAAGUAACAAAUAAACAACAACAAAAAGUUUUUUCAAAAUGUUUUUAAAAAUACAAAUAAUCCAUUGGAACCGUCGAAUAAUAUCGAUAUUGCAAUUGCUAUGGAACUUGAAUAUGAGAAAAAAAAAAUACAAAAAGAACAGAAACGGGAUGAAGAAUCAGAAUCAACAUCAGAAUCAGCAUCAGAAUCAGAAGAGUUAUUGAGAGAUGUUGCAGAAGAAGCUCUUAGAAAACUUGCUGAAAGGAUAUUAAGAGAAGUUGCAUUGAUGGUUGCAAAUGUGGCUAAAGAGGUGGCAAUGGAACAGGCUAAGCAUUCAAAAGUGGCAUCAAGAGAACAGGUUAAACAGUCAAAGGAGGUGACAUCAAAGGAAGUGGCAUCAAAGGAAGUGGCAUCAAAGGAAGUGACAUCAAAAGAGGUGGUAUCAAAAGAGGUGGUAUUAAAAGAGGUGGUAUCAAAGGAACAGGUUAAAAAGUCAAAGGAGGUAACCACAACGGAUCGGGAGGUAACCACAACAGAUCGAGUUAAACAGUCAAAUAAUAUUGAAUUAGAAAAUAAAACAAACAAAGAUACAACCA
rnacentral:lncRNA from 1 species